GAAAAAUCUGCAAAAUCUUGUAGAAUUCCCUGCAUUCAGAGCUGACUAUUUGUGCAAAACCACCCAUUGCCCUGAGGCAGAAGCACUGAGAGCUGUGCACUGGAAGAGACCCCAGCAUCCUGCAGAUGCAGCAGCUCCAUGCAUUCACCUCACCCAGCAAAAGGUGGGUACCCAAAAACUUUGAGGGGGGCUCUGCUUUCC
rnacentral:lncRNA from 12 species